UGUCUGUGAAUUCAUGUGAAAAUGAAUUAUGAAGCUGAGGCCUGGCCUGCAUUAGGAAGUUGUUUUAAAUUAAUUUGCUUUAAAUUAAUUUUCUCUACAGUCAAAUGGGGCCUGUGGGUGUUUGGAAAGGCCAGCUAUCAGUUUCCUAUUAUCAUACACUAUGGGAAGGAGUUCUCAUCUUCAUAACCCUGCUCCAGAGAGGUUUGCCCUUCAGGACAAUAGGGUGACGUAGUGUGAGAACCAUAUGGAUGGGAAGAAGUAACCUAGACCCAACAUGCAAGUUCAGGGAUUUCAAGACAGGAGGCCAAACACUGAAACAACAUCUGACAAAACUGACCUCAGCAGAGGCUGUUCUGAAGCAACGAGCAAGCUGAUCCUGCAGUCCACUGAAUUAGUAUCUGCAAAGGGCUGGAUAAAUGAUCAAACACCUUGUAGAAGAAUUCUACUAUGCCCCGGAAAUACAUGUUCUCUCCCGAGGCACGAGAGAUUCCGAAGCCACUCUGGCAUCUUUGCAAUGAGCUGCAAGGUUGACUUCUUCAGAAGAUCUGUGGUCCUUGCCACUGGCAAGGGUGUUUCCACAUGCUCCUGCAGUCCUUUCUGUACUUCAUAACAGCUGCACAGUAGAA
rnacentral:lncRNA from 1 species